rnacentral:rRNA from 1 species
AGUGAACGCUGGCGGUAGGCCUAACACAUGCAAGUCGAACGGCAGCACAGUAAGAGCUUGCUCUUACGGGUGGCGAGUGACGGACGGGUGAGGAAUACAUCGGAAUCUACUUUUUCGUGGGGGAUAACGUAAGGAAACUUACGCUAAUACCGCAUACGACCUACGGGUGAAAGCAGGAGAUCUUCGGACCUUUCGCGAUUGAAUGAGCCGAUGUCGGAUUAGCUAGUUGGCGGGGUAAAGGCCCACCAAGGCGACGAUCCGUAGCUGGUCUGACAGGAUGAUCAGCCACACUGGAACUGGGACACGGUCCAGACUCCUACGGGAGGCAGCAGGGGGGAAUAUUGGACAAUGGGCGCAAGCCUGAUCCAGCCAUACCGCGUGGGGUAAGAAGGCCUUCGGGUUGUAAAGCCCUUUUUUUGGGAAAGAAAAGCAGCAGGUUAAUACCCCGCUGUUCUGACGGUACCCAAAGAAUAAGCACCGGCUAACUUCGUG